rnacentral:lncRNA from 1 species
GGGAUAGUGAGAUAUGAUAAUAAUUAGUAAAAAUGGGUGAGAAAUACUGGGGAAAACCAAUCUGAAGCUGCAGCAAGCAUAAUUAAUUAGUAGUAUAUUAUUUGGAGCGAUGGGUACGGAACCAUUGAGCAGUAUCCUUUUCAAAUUCCUUCCGAGGUAUGAAGUAAUCUUUUCCGGGAGCUUUCAUCAUCUUCUCGCUACAACUUCCAAAUAGGUAGGAGAUGCCCCACCACGCCACCAACCCUGCCACGGCGGCGACACCAACAGGCGUCGCAGCAAAAUAACUGCCAACGAAGCGGAACGCCACCUCCACCAACUUCUUUACGGCCCACACGAAGGCGGCGGGGAUUCCUUCGGAAAUGAGUACGCUGAUGCCUUCCGUCACCAUCGCCAAAGAUAUAUAAGACCCCAUGCUCAGUCUGUUCAACCAAAUGUUUAGGCUUUUUACUUGUAAAU